GAUGAACGCUGGCGGAAUGCUUUACACAUGCAAGUCGAGCGGCAGCGCGGGGCAACCUGGCGGCGAGCGGCGAACGGGUGAGUAAUGCAUCGGAACAUGUCCAUGUCGUGGGGGAUAGCCCGGCGAAAGCCGGAUUAAUACCGCAUAAGCCCGAGAGGGGAAAGUGGGGGACCGCAAGGCCUCACGCGAUUGGGUUGGCCGAUGUCCGAUUAGCUAGUUGGCGGGGUAAGAGCCCACCAAGGCGAUGAUCGGUAGCUGGUCUGAGAGGAUGAUCAGCCACACUGGGACUGAGACACGGCCCAGACUCCUACGGGAGGCAGCAGUGGGGAAUUUUGGACAAUGGGGGCAACCCUGAUCCAGCCAUUCCGCGUGAGUGAAGAAGGCCUUCGGGUUGUAAAGCUCUUUUGUCCGGAACGAAACGGGUAGGUCUAAUAAGCCUGCCUACUGACGGUACCGGAAGAAUAAGCACCGGCUAACUACGUGC
rnacentral:rRNA from 1 species